rnacentral:rRNA from 1 species
AGUGAACGCUGGCGGUAGGCCUAACACAUGCAAGUCGAACGGCAGCACAGUAAGAGCUUGCUCUUACGGGUGGCGAGUGGCGGACGGGUGAGGAAUACAUCGGAAUCUACUUUUUCGUGGGGGAUAACGUAGGGAAACUUACGCUAAUACCGCAUACGACCUACGGGUGGAAGCAGGGGAUCUUUGGACCUUGCGCGAUUGAAUGAGCCGAUGUCGGAUUAGCUAGUUGGCGGGGUAAAGGCCCACCAAGGCGACGAUCCGUAGCUGGUCUGAGAGGAUGAUCAGCCACACUGGAACUGAGACACGGUCCAGACUCCUACGGGAGGCAGCAGUGGGGAAUAUUGGACAAUGGGCGCAAGCCUGAUCCAGCCAUACCGCGUGGGUGAAGAAGGCCUUCGGGUUGUAAAGCCCUUUUGUUGGGAAAGAAAAGCAGCAGGUUAAUACCCCGCUGUUCUGACGGUACCCAAAGAAUAAGCACCGGCUAACUUCGUG